rnacentral:rRNA from 1 species
AUUGAACGCUGGCGGCAUGCCUUACACAUGCAAGUCGAACGGCAGCACGGGAGCAAUCCUGGUGGCGAGUGGCGAACGGGUGAGUAAUGUAUCGGAACGUGCCCAGUUGUGGGGGAUAACUACUUGAAAGAGUGGCUAAUACCGCAUACGACCUGAGGGUGAAAGCGGGGGAUCGCAAGACCUCGCGCAAUUGGAGCGGCCGAUAUCAGAUUAGCUAGUUGGCGGGGUAAAAGCC